GUGGAGGAUAUGGAGGUGGUUAUGGAGGAUACGGUGGCGGAUAUGGUUACGGCAAAAAAGAGAUAAAUGAAAACGAAGAUAAAAGUGAAGGUGGAUAUGGCGGAUAUGGUUACGGAAAAAGAGAAACCGAACAAGAUGGAGGAUACGGGGGCGGAUACGGAGGUGGAUACAGCGGAGGAUAUGGUUACGGA